UAAUUAAAUGACAUCAUAAAGGCUUCUACAUGGACUCUGCUAGACAGCAGAUCUGACAUUUCGCUGACAUGGGGAUCUUCCAAACAGAAAACUCUCUCUAUUAAGGAUUAUGGUCAGCUAGGAAAUGAAUAAGCAAUCGGAAAAAAGACCUAAAACCUACCAAUUCUGAAAGAACUGCCCUUCAUCCUCAGAAUCAGAUAGUGAAACAAUUAAAUCUCUGACUUCUUCUAAUAGGGAUGAAGGAAGCGGAGCUGACACCAAAAACCCUCCGGGAGCAACCAAAGCAUCCCCAAGGAAACAACACAAUCUGUUUUGGAAGUUUUUCUGUUCAUGCUGCAUUGAUGAAGACCCUAAGAAGUCUGUCAGCAGUCCUCCCCCAGAAAGGAAACCACAAAAAUCAGAUGUAAAGGUACAAACAUCUUUGGAAGAUUAUUACAGCAAAAAUCUGGGCAGGUACACUGGGUAUACAAGUUCCCAAGCCUGCUACACAAGGAGGCCCUGAUGGUUCUAGUUAGUGCCAUCAUCUGAAACUACCUAAGUUCUCAGCUGAUGGUGAUUUAGAAAAUAUAUCUCCUAAGGGAGAAAAAAAAUGUAUUGUGAUGUAAAGCAGGAUUAAUGAAGACCAAAUCAGAAACUUCCCUAGGGGAGAUGAAAUGGUCCGAUCCUUCCCUGCAGUAUACACACACACACCAAAAAAAACCUUCCAAAACCUUACAUCUGGGGCAUCCUAUCUCUGAGGAAUAGCCACCAAUUAAAGCUGUUACAUGAUAUAAACA